rnacentral:lncRNA from 1 species
GAACAAAAGACAUUUGUGAAAUGGUCGCCACAUCGGUCAAGAAGUUGACGGAACUCUGGGUAGAAAUAGGGAUAAGCCACGAGCGAAUUAUCAGCCGUCUUAACGGAACUCAGGCGCUCAUCGCCAACUUAUCGGACCAAAUGCUCUCGGGAGAUGACCCAAGAGCUGUCAGUGGAGCUCUCAGUUCCCAGCCCUGCGGAAAAAGACAACCAAAGACAUUUGUGAAAUGGUCGCCACAUAGGUCAAGAAGUUAACGGAACUCUGGGUAGAAAUAGGGAUAAGCCACGAGCGAAUGAUCAGCCGUCUAGACGCAACUCAGGCGCUCAUCGCCAACUUAUCGGACCAAAAGUUCUCGGGAGAAGGCCAAAGAGCUGUCAGUGGAGCUCAGUUCCCAGCCCUGCGGAAAAAGACAACAAAAGACAUUUGUGAAAUGGUCGCCACAUAGGUC